AGUAUCCUUUAAUCUUCACAACACCCUGCACGGGAGUCAUCAUUAUUGCUCCUUUACAGAUGAAGAAACUGAGGCUCAGAGGGCUGAAGGCAUGACCCAAUGUCACACAGAAAGUAACAUCAGGUCGUAUCUUUUCCACUAAUCCAAGCUAGUAAGUAAAGCAAUUCUGAGUUUUCUUUCAGCAGCAAAAUCCUGUCUUUCCAACAUCACAGGCUGCAACUCUGGAUGGAGAAGGAACGCAAAGGCCGGUUUUCCUACUCGGGCAAACCGGUAAUGAACUCUUUCAGUCCCUUUCACGAAUGCCCAAUUCUCAACACCCAAACAACCUGCAGAGAAAUGUAGCUGGGACAGACAACGCCCUCUUGCCUGCUCUUCAACUUGGAAAGAAUUCUGAUGCAAGCCAGGGUGUGUGUGGAAGCUGAGCAAAGUCCUAGCUUCCAUCAUGGUCCAAGGCCCCACCUCGGGAAGACUGGCCUUGGGCUUGGCCUGGCGACUGGGAGACUCUUUAAAAUGUGGAGCUACCCAGGAAACGUGGCUCUGCACCGCACCGUCUGGAUAAGCACUCUAAGCUCCGUAGGGCAUGCUGUCCAUGUGAGACGGGGCUCCAGCAUCCCUUAUCCAUGGACUCCGACAGUCUAUCUUACUGAACACCAGGCUUCAGGACUGCUAUGCGGACUCACCAGCUCUCACCCACACCCGGAAGGCUGGAACGUGCGCCAAGCGGAACAUCCAAGCCCCAGCACCAGGUACCACCUCGUCUUGGGAAGUUGUCAAGAACCCGUUGACUGCCAGUUCAUUCUCCAUGAUUAAGCUGGUGCUCAGGUGACAACUAAUGGGUAAAUGUUGACCAGUACCACGCAAGUUUGGAGGGGCAAAACCCUUGAAGAGAUUAAAGCCCAAGGACAAUUCAGCGAUGAAAGCCACCCAGCGGUGCAGGAUAAGGAACUCCAUCAGUUCCAAGAACAGGCGGCCAGCGGGGCAGCCGCCCGGCUCACCUGGGUGCAGGAGGCCUGUCGGAGACAUCAAGGAGAAUAAAAGGCAAGACCAGUCAGCACCAGACCACUCAGAUGGCCACUGCCGUCACCCUGGACAGAGGAAAUGAGCCGGACUGAAGGGACAGCAGGCGGGGAUGCAGAGAAGGCCACUGGGAACACACUGCAGAGCUCAGGCCCCAGCCCUGGUUUUGUGAGAGACACAGCCCCAGGGGUCAGUGUUCACGGGCUGCUCUGAGGCGUUACCUGGCUGCGUCGCUGCUUCAGCUUGAUUUUGACGAGGAGGAUGAGGCAGACCAGGGAGACCACGACGAAGAAAGCCAGGAAAACCCCCAUGUCGAAGUAUUCAGUGGGUUGCUGGAACAGAACACAGACACAAUGGGUCGCAGCUCUCUCUGGCUUCGGGACGGGCACUCGGCUGUGUCGACCCUGAUAAGGGUAAGGAUGGGGUGAGCAGGGUGUGUUUCCCUUCCUGCAGGAACACCUGGGGCUCUGCUAACAUGCACAGGGUGUGCUAUUCAGGCCUACGUAGUACCCUGUGCUGUGGCCGGGGAGAGGCGGUCUCAGCCAGGCCUCCUAAUAGCCAAGAGAACUCUGCUCAUAAAGCCUUGCUCCCCGUGGAAUAGCGCAGAGUUUGCUGUAACCGGGAGGAGAGGCCCUUCCAAAUAAACACAAAUAUUGUAUUUAUGGGACAAAGGAGUGAGUGUCAUGUUUUGAGGGAACAGUGAUUACUAACCAUAUAAUUAAUGGUUUACAACAACUCCGAAAAUUGUAUGCUGCUUCCACAAAUAUCAACUUCCACUACAGUGAGUCAUAUUUGCCAAAGUGGUCUUUUUUUCUUUGAAAAGGAGCCAGCAAAUCAGUUCUGCAAACUCCCUCUAGUUCUAGUUCUUAUCUGUUCCUCACGGCACCCUGCAUCCUGCAGCCUCGAAGUUGCCUCACCUAGGACAUGCACUUAGCCAACAGGACUAGUGUUUUGGUGAUUGAAUGUUGCGGGUAUCCAGAUAUUUUGUGCAUGCAGGCAAUCGUCCUGUACGUGAAUAUUCCAACAUUUGUAAGAGAAGGAAACAAACCAUAGACGGGGCACCUGUCACAGGUUCCUAGAAUCUUCAGCCUGAGGUUUGGGCAGAAGAUGCCAGGUAGAAGUUAAUGGCCAGCAAUGUCCCUUCUUAAGAGAAGCUUACACAUUAUUCAUUAACUAGCUAGAGGUGACGAACUUUAGUCUCAGUUGAAAGUUAACUUUUCUAGACUCAAAUAUAGGUUAGGGGGUUUCAAUAAUAAAAUUUACCCUACAGGAAAAAGGAAGCACAGGCCCUUCUCUCCAGUUCAGGUUAAAUGGGAGGAAGGAGACACGGGAAGCCGAAUGCUGGGUGUCAAUCAGAGGAAGACGGGACAGAAGAGAAAGAAGGAUAGGAGGUCACCAAGAGCGAAUGCCAGGCAGAAGAGACCAGAGACAUCUCAGCACAAAUCAUCCAUUUCUGGAAGGACUUUUCAAAAUUCUCUCUAAAGGAACACAAGGAAAAUGUCUCCCUGGCCUCCAGCCUUAGAUCUGAUAUAAACCUGCAGGAACCCGGGGUGCUUCAGCAUUUUAGACAGAAAGAAGACAGGAAGAGAAGCCCAGGAACAGAAUUCCCACAGGGAAUAAAGGUGCAGGCAGCCACAGAGGGGGAGCCAGGCCUGGCUGGCCG